UUCCAUGCUCUGUUAUUCCAUAUAGCUGCCAAACACAAUAAAGCUGAUAUCAUGAUUAAAGAAAUUUUAUUUACAAAAAAGAUAACACAUUAUUACCAACUCAUUUAUUCCAUUUGUCAGGAUAUGCAAAGGCUUCGUGUUAAAGUAGGUUACCUCUUCCCUCUAGUGGGGGUAACAACAUAUAUUUCCAGCUGGUUAUGAUAGGUUCAUAUGCUAAUGCAAAUCGUACACACAAGAAAAGAAAAAAAUCUCUCACUCCCUUGCCAUUAGGCUUUUUAAUUUGGUUUUCAAAUACUUGAAAAAAGCUUUGGUGGAUUCCUAUUGUGAAGAAUCAAAGAAAG
rnacentral:lncRNA from 1 species